UACAGAGGUCUCAAGCGUUGCUCGGAAUCACUGGGCGUAAAGGGUGCGUAGGUGGGCAGGUAAGUCAGUGGUGAAAUCUCCGGGCUUAACCCGGAAACUGCCAUUGAUACUAUCUGUCUUGAAUACCGUGGAGGUGAGCGGAAUAUGUCAUGUAGCGGUGAAAUGCUUAGAUAUGACAUAGAACACCAAUUGCGAAGGCAGCUCACUACACGAAUAUUGACACUGAGGCACGAAAGCGUGGGGAUCAAACAGG
rnacentral:rRNA from 1 species